rnacentral:rRNA from 1 species
UGGGGAAUAUUGGACAAUGGGCGAAAGCCUGAUCCAGCCAUGCCGCGUGUGUGAAGAAGGUCUUCGGAUUGUAAAGCACUUUAAGUUGGGAGGAAGGGCAUUAACCUAAUACGUUAGUGUUUUGACGUUACCGACAGAAUAAGCACCGGCUAACUCUGUGCCAGCAGCCGCGGUAAUACAGAGGGUGCAAGCGUUAAUCGGAAUUACUGGGCGUAAAGCGCGCGUAGGGGGGUUGUUAAGUUGGAUGUGAAAGCCCCGGGCUCAACCUGGGAACUGCAUCCAAAACUGGCAAGCUAGAGUACGGUAGAGGGUGGUGGAAUUUCCUGUGUAGCGGUGAAAUGCGUAGAUAUAGGAAGGAACACCAGUGGCGAAGGCGACCACCUGGACUGAUACUGACACUGAGGUGCGAAAGCGUGGGGAGCAAACA